AACUAGCUAGUUAGUUUCUCCCUCAUCGGCAAUGAAAGAAACUUUCUUUAGUUUAUCUAUCAAAACCCUAGAGCUAAGUUCGUCCCUUCGGGGACAUCCGAUAAAAUUGGAACGAUACAGAGAAGAUUAGCAUGGCCCCUGCGCAAGGAUGACACGCACAAAUCGAGAAAUGGUCCAAAUUUUUUUCCCCCAUUUUUUCGGUUCUUCGGAGCUCCAUUUUCGUGGAUUUUGCUUUUUCACUCAUCUUAUUCAGUUGAAAUCUCUAAACUGAGGUCAGUUUCCAUUUAUUAAGUAGAGUUUUCUGCAAUUUCAGUUUCUGAAGUGCAUUCCUUUGGUGUGCCAUUUUUGGGUCCUGGAAGAUUUAGGUCAAAUGGCAUUAUCCCAAAGGUUUUAUCGUUUGGAAAUUAUAUGCCAGUUUACAUGUCAAAUAGUUUUUGAAAUUGGGUAAAUUAGUGUUUUGAACAUUUAAUUUAACAGUUAAUCAGAAGAAUUUUGAAGAACAUUUGUGUUGUUUGGUGUUGGAAAUUAAAGCAUUGAAACUUUCUGUUUAUAAUUUCUCUUGCUUACGUUGCUAAAUUUUUUUUUUUAAUAAAAAAAAUAGGAGAAAAUAAUUUCUCUUGCUUACCUAGUUUUAGGCAAAUUGCAUACAAAUUGGAAAGAGGGAAAUGGAUAUGCAUAAGCAAGUAUGUCUAAGGCUUUUGCUCUUCAUUCUGCCUUGAACACCUAUGCCAUAUGUGUAUAAUAUGAUUGUGCAUCAUAUGUAUAAAUGAUUUAAGUAUAUUUUAUUUGAUUCUUUAAAUUAUACAGUAGAACUCUACUAGAACUUCAAUAUCCACCUCCGAUCUACACCAGCUAAAGAAUUACCGUCUCUUGCGCUAUUUUGAGGCAAAAUGGCUGUUACUGAAUGUUCAAUCAGUGGACAAGAACUUGACUGGAACUUUGGUAGCUAAAUGGAAGCGCAGUGGAAAAAGGCUUCCUAAGAAGCCAGCUUGGGCUUGUUGACUUUGCCAAACAAAUAGUUUGUGAGUCAGGAAAACGGACACGGGGACUCAGGUCGGGGGUGCGACAUAACUAAGAGAGACAGAGUCAUUCCAUUUAUGGCGAGACAAAAUGCACGGGCACAGACGUUGCCAGUUAAUUAGAUUUGUCAUGGUUCAAAAAAUAGGGAGAAGAACCAUGAACACCAGGGUUAAAGGAGCCUGAGCUAAAUAGAGCUGUAGUGAGAGAAUGCUGACUUCCUAAUCCUUCCCCGUCGCCGGUUUAUGGGAGUUUCCUAAGAGGAGCUAGGAUUAUUUGGAACCUUAAACAAGGAGUUAUUUAAGCUUUCAACCAAAGCAGCUGUAGGCCUAUGCAAAGAGUUUAUUAAUCUCAACCUGGAGUUUCAUGCUUGAGAUUCUUUAAAAAUGUUACUAGAAACUAAAGUCCCGAACGAGUUUGGUAAACGUGCUAAUUCAAAACUCAAGAAUCUGUGUUAAUGGUUGGUAUGUUUUUUAGAGCCCACCAUAAAAAUCAUAUCAACCAUAAAAACAGGUUCUUGAGUUUAUGGCAGAAGAAGUCGAGCCCAAUCAGAUGUAUAUCUUCUCUAUUUUUUUGGAGUAACACAGCUAUAUUAAAUUAUAGCUAAGAGAGACAGAGUCAUUCCAUUUAUGGCGAGACAAAAUGCACGGGCACAGACGUUGCCAGUUAAUUAGAUUUGUCAUGGUUCAAGAAAUAGGGAGAAGAACCAUGAACACCAGGGUUAAAGGAGCCUGAACUAAAUAGAGCUGUAGUGAGAGAAUGCUGACUUCCUAAUCCUUCCCCGUCGCCGGUUUAUGGGAGUUUCCUAAGAGGAGCUAGGAUUAUUUGGAACGUUAAACAAGGAGUUAUUUAAGCUUUCAACCAAAGCAGCUGUAGGCAGAGUUAUGCAAAGAGUUUAUUAAUCUCAACCUGGAGUUUCAUGCUUGAGAUUCUUUAAAAAAUAUUACUAGAAACUAAAGUCCCGAACGAGUUUGGUAAACGUGCUAAUUCAAAACUCAAGAAUCUGUGUUAAUGGUUGGUAUGUUUUUUAGAGCCCACCAUAAAAAUCAUAUCAACCAUAAAAACAGGUUCUUGAGUUUAUGGCAGAAGAAGUCGAGCCCAAUCAGAUGUAUAUCUUCUCUAUUUUUUUGGAGUAACACAGCUAUAUUAAAUUAUGUAGGUGCCAUGAUUGACUUUCUUAGCUCAUUACACAUUUCGUAAUUGUAGCCCUCUUGUAAUUACUUAACAGCACACUCUUGUUGCUGAGAUCUAUGUACUUACUCUUUUAAAAAUCAAAACGAAUUUGAGGCCAAUACAUGCGUCCAUCUAUAGCAAUGGAUUUUGUGGAAACUACUAGCAAUGCUAGAGUUUGGAGCUUCUGUUAGAUUUUUAUUUUGCCUCAAUAGUAUGUGUGCGCACAUGUGUUUAAACUACUUCACGAAGUCAUACACCAAUUACGCACCGGAGAACAACUCGUGGAUUUGUGAAAAUUAUCUUUGUUAAUCAGUGAAAUAGUUCUCUCUCUGCGGCAAUGUUUUAAUGUCCUUGCUGAAUCAAUUAAUUUAAGAAGACUGGGAUUGGCAUCUAACUUGUAAAAUGUGGAAUUUCCUUCAUAGACCAUCACAUUUUAGACUCUACUGCAUAAUCUUUCAUGACUCCACUUUCGUCAUACUUCAAUUCGAACCGAAGAUUUCUUCUGUUUAUCUAGCUAGUUGUCCCAUCCCAACCAAAAACCCCAACCAACUAGUUGUCCCUCAUCAGCUAUAAAAAAAAGUUUUCUUCUGUUUAUCUACCAAAACCCUAAUAGCUAGGUUCGUCUCUUCGGGAACAUCCGAUAAAAUUGGAAUGACACAAAGAAGAUUAGCCUGAUCCCUGCGCAAGGAUGAUAUACACAAAUCGAGAAAUGGUCCAAAUAAUUUUUUUGACAUUUUUCCAGAGCUCCGUUUUCGUGGGUUUGAUUUUUUACUCAUCUUAUUCAUUGAAAUCUCUAACAUGAGGUCAGUUUCCAUUUUUUGUUUUUGUGUAUGUUAUAUGCUUCUUAAUUGCUUUAGAAAUAGUGAUUAGAAUGUCGUGAAUUUUUAGUUUCUAAAGUGCAUUAGGAAGAUUGUAUUUGAGGUUAGUUUCCAUUGUUUUGGGUUUUGUUGUGUAUGUUAAAGCCUCUUACUUUACAAAGAGUGAUUAGUCUAUUGUGAAAUUUUAGUUUCCAAAGUGCAUUAUGAAGAUUGUAUUUGAGUUUUUCUUUUUCUUUUGGCGAGCAAUUUUGUGCAUGGAAGAUCUAGGUCCAAAUGUCAAAGGUUUUCUCUUUUCUAAACUAUGUCAUGUCAAAUACUUCCUGAAAUUGAAUAAAAUCCGUGACGGCCUGUUGUGAACAUAUUCUUUAACAUUUAAAGAAGGAAGUGUAAAGUUGUGAAAAAUAUUUGUGUUAUUUGGUGUUGGAAAUUAAAAGUAAUGAAGGCAACGUAAAGGCUGGCUUCUGUUGGAUAAUGACUCUAUUAUACCUCCAAGAGGUGUGGUGGGAUCAAUAGGAUCUCUUCACCCUUAACCAGAUGCUUGGGGUUCGAGCGCUUCCCCCUUUUUAUAGGCCUUACGCGACCCAAAAUUGGACAGAGAUUCAUGUGUUUUGUUACUUUGUGAUUAGAUUGCGUGAUUACAUUCUCAAUUUACUGUCGGAAGUUUGUGUGAUCCGUUCUAGUGGAUGUGAUGUUGUAUCAUCAUCUUGGUGGCAGCUUAGAUUGAGUUUGAUUAGAAAAAAAGGUAUCCUUACUACUCUAAACGAACUAAUUUUUUUUUCCAGCAAAAAAUUGGAUCAAGUAAACCAACAGGAACAUAGUUCUUCCAGUUUUCAUGUGGUUUUAGUAACUAUUAAAACUUAAACUCAUAAUUCAGUGUUGAUUAUUUGCAACUGAAACAAAUUGCUUGAAGAUGCAACCAAGUCUAAUUGGUGUAUAUUCUAAGAGGUAUAAUCCUUGCCUAGCCACUGCUUCUUAUCACCUUUUCUUCCACCGAAGGUAUAUCAGAAAUAACCUCUUUGCCUUCCCAGGGUAGGGGCAAGGCUGCAUACAUCCGACACUCCCCAGACCCCACUUGUGGGAAUUCACUAGGUUUGUUGUUUUUGUUAUUGUUGUAUAAUCGUUGCCUUGCCCUCUGUAGCUGAUUUGAUACAAUUCAGAGAGUUCUUAUUCUACUAAGCAAUCUUUCCUGACCACUUACUUUUGGGCAUUUUUUCCUGUCAGUUCUCAUGAGUAUUGAGUGUCUUCUCAAGGUCUUUUAAUUUUAUAAGCUUCUUUCACUCUGUUAAUAAUCACUGUUAGGCAGGUAUGUGAAUCGCAGGAAUUGAUUCUUGAGGAGAUGAAAGCAAAGACUGAUUUUGCUUGCUCUAAAGUCAUUAUAAAUUGAAUCUAGAAAAGGAUAGGACAUUGAAUGAGGAUCAAUGAUCCAGAUAAUAGGAAUCUUCUGCACUGAAACUUUUAAGGCAUUCGCUGAUCAAUCUCUUUUUUUUUUCCUGAGUAAAUUUCAUCUAAUAGAAGAUGGCUAAGCCUCUUUUGUGCAAUUGACAUUUUUUUUAAAGGAGAUAUGUGUGUACGUAUAUGCUUGUAGUUAAGUCGAGUUUCAAAAUGUAGCAUUUAGGAAUUUGUAAGCAUUUGCAGAUUUUGGCUAUUGUUAAGAAAUCAAAAUUGCUUUCGUUUUGCUUGUUGGUUCCUUGAUUGGUCUUUAUCUUCUGCAGAUUCAUUUUUGCACAGUAAGAAUUGGCAGAAAGGUUUUUCUAUAAUCAGAGAAGUACAGAAAAUUGCAUAUUAUAUGGUCCCGCAGUGUAUAUUCUUCGGGGUACUCAGGCUUCCCUGAUGUGCUCUUACAAUGCAUAGGGAAAAUUUUCACUCUUAACAUUAUCAAGGUCCAAAGGGAACACAUGGUUCAUUUGCUCCAAAGAAAGUCUCCACGCAAGUUUUGAUACCUUGAACAUUUGACGGCUGGAUAAGUGUUAAAGUAAUCACUGGUAAGUAAUCCCUCACUAUUUCUAUGGAAACUUUGAGAAGAAAGGAUUUGGUAUGGUUUUUCAAGGGAUAAAAGAUACAAUAUGUGAUAUCUGAUGUCUUUCUUGUUCAAGGUCGUUAACCACAAUGUUUACUCCAGCAUUGCACUCUUUUGUUUUCCUAACUUGCUUGGGAUUGAAACGUAUUUCUAGUUGUUUAAUUGCUCUUCUUUUGUUGAAUAUAUUUAAUUCAUCAGAAUGGAUGGGCAUAUUUGCAAAGAUAGUAAUCACUUUUUAGGCAAAUUGUAUACAAAUGGCAAAGGGGGAAAUGAAUAUAAUAAGUGGGCGUUUGGACAUAAGAAUUAUAAAAUAUUAAAAAAUAAAAAGUGAAAAUGGUAUUUGAAAAUUAGAGUUGUGUUUGGACAUGAAUAUAAUUUUGGGUUGCUUUUGAAUUUUUGUGAGUAAUCUGAGUGAAAAAUUUAAAAAAUAGUUUUUUGGAGUUUUUCAAAUUUUCGAAAAAAUUUCCAAAAAUUCAUCUUCAAGUGAAAUUUUUUCGAAAAGAAGUGAAAAAAUCUUAUGUACAAACGGGCUCUAAGGAUCUCGAUAAAUCUCAACAGGUUGGAUCCCCAUCUAACCUACUCCAUAACCUAUAGCUAAGUGACUAUACGCCAUUUAUGCUGCCGAUGCAAAAUGAACAUUAGGACCCCAAUUGUCUCACUAAUGAUUCUUCACUGCCCCCCUAGACAAUUUCUCGUUCAGCUCUAUAGUACUUGGUUGAGGGUCCGUGAGGAAUCAAUAAUGAGAUGAAUAGGGUCCGAAAUUUCAUAUUGCUUAAUCAAAAUUUUUAACCACAGAGGCUUUCUCAAAAAUUAAUUAUAUUUAGUAAAAAUUUUCGACAAAGCGGUGGUGCGGGACACCGCUUUGUUGAACGUGCAUCCAUUCCUGAUUUUCAAGGACUAGUAAUUCGUGUUGGGUUGUUGCAGAUGAUCCGCUUCCGCUAAAGAGGAAUCCGUAAGUCUCCUAGCUAGUUUAUAAUAUACAUGUUCUCCAACCACCAUCAACUGCCAUGUUGAAUGCAUGCGUAUUGUUGUUGGAAGAAAGUAGUUCAGAGCUCUAUUUUCUUGUGUGUUUUUUUUCACUCAAAUUCUGUUAGGUUAAAUCUCCAACAUGAGGUUAGUCUCGGUAUAUAUGGUCUUUCUUAGAAUGACCUUUUGUUUAUGUACAUGUUAAUAGCUUUUGGUUUUAAAAAUAUUGACUAGAGUCUUCUGAAAUUUUAGUUUCUAAAGCUGCUUUUGAAGAUUGUAAUGAGCUUCCUUUGGUCUGCAAUUUGACAAGAGUCAUGCGUUUCGCUAUUUUGUUAUUACGUUGUGCAAUUACAUGCUGAAGUACUGUCUGAAGUUUGUUGUUUUCGUUAAUCUUCAUCUGUUGGCAAUUCUGUCUAUUGGCAAAAGCAAAUAUUUCUAAAAAUGCUCAAUUGUCAGACAUCUGGUUUAGCACCUCGGUUGCACCCACUUAUUACUGGUGCACUAUUUGAGACAAGGGAUGAUGAGGGUAAAACACUUACUUUUGUCCAUCAACAAGAUUAAAAAUAUGUGUUUCUCCCUUAGAAUCCUUGGUCUCAAAAAAGUGCAUUGGAAAAUAUGUGGGUGCGACCGAGGUGCUAAGGCAAUUGUGUGACAAUUGAACAUUCUUUGAGCACGUUUGGAUUGGCUUAAAAAAGUGGCUUAAUCAGCAAAAAUAGCUUUUAAGCCAAAAAAUAAUAAGUUGGGGUUGCCCAGCUUAUUGCUUUUGUCUUGUUUUAAGCAGUUUUUGACUUAUUUUACUCUUUUUGACUGCCAAAACACCGGAAAAAACUAAAAAGAGCUUAAAAGCUGAUUUGACUAGCUUAAAAGCCAAUCCAAGCAUCCUCUUAGAGAUAUUUGUGUUUGCCUAUUGACACGGCUAUUGCAAAUGACAUAGAAGCCAUGAUAGGCCUUUUGAGUUCUUUACACUUGCAACAGUGAGCAUCUUUUUCUAAAUACUUCUGCAGCACCUUAUUGGAGGGACUAAAGCAAAGCCUGAUUAUGCUCGCGAAUGUGGAUCUUGAUAAUGGGACUUUCAAGGCAAUCGCUGAUCAAUCGCUUUGCUGAGUAAAUUCCAUUUAAUAGAACAUGGGUACGUCUCUUUUGUGUAAAAGGCCUUUUUUUAUGAUGAGUACAGUACAGUUGAGUGUCUAAAAUUUAGCAUUUAUAAAUUUGUAACCAUAUGCAGUUUUUGUACUGUCAAGAAAUCACAUUUUAUUAGUUGGUUCCUUGUCUGGUCUUUAUCAUCUGCUGAUCCAUAUUUGCAUAGACUGGAAUUGGCAGAAGGUUUUUCCAUAAUCAGAAGAGCUUGCUGCACAUCUAUAACAGUUGUUAGUGCUGAGUUUUAGAUAGUGAAUUGAGGCUACCUGGACAAUAGAUACUUUCAUUAGUUUAAUAAUCUGUUUUAAUUUUUACUUGUGUCACUAGCUACUUGCUUUUACCAUUAUUACAUGAUUUUGUUACUGAAUCAUGAGAGAUAUUUAGUGGUCAAUGCUUC
rnacentral:lncRNA from 1 species